rnacentral:rRNA from 1 species
GACAGAGGGUGCAAACGUUGUUCGGAAUUACUGGGCGUAAAGCGCGUGUAGGCGGCUCGGAAAGUCGGGUGUGAAAGCCCUGGGCUCAACCUAGGAAGUGCACUCGAAACUUCCGAGCUGGAGUUCUGGAGAGGAAGGCGGAAUUCUUGGUGUAGCGGUGAAAUGCGUAGAUAUCAAGAGGAACACCUGCGGCGAAGGCGGGUUGCUGGGCCGACACUGACGCUGAGGCGCGAAAGCUAGGGGAGCGAACGGG